rnacentral:rRNA from 1 species
CACGUAGGGGCCAAGCGUUGUCCGGAUUUAUUGGGCGUAAAGAGCUCGUAGGCGGUUGGGUAAGUCGGGUGUGAAAACUCUGGGCUCAACUCAGAGACGCCACCCGAUACUGCUCUGACUUGAGUCCGGUAGGGGAGUGGGGAAUUCCUGGUGUAGCGGUGAAAUGCGCAGAUAUCAGGAGGAACACCGGUGGCGAAGGCGCCACUCUGGGCCGGAACUGACGCUGGGGAGCGAAAGCGUGGGUAGCAAACAGG